CCCUUAGAUGUUCUGGGCAGCACGCGCGCUACAAUGGUCUUCGCAAACGGAUGCAUUCUCGAAGGAGAAUGCCAAUCUUGGAAUCUAUGCCUUGGUCGGGACAGUUGCUUGCAAUUUUUCGACUCGAACCAGGAAUUCCUUGUAAUCGUGAUUCAUCACAUCACGAUGAAUACGUCCCUGCCCUUUGUACACACCACCCGUCGCUCCUACCGAUCGAAGAGUUAGGUGAAUUGUUUUGAUCGAUAAGAUUUGACUAUGGUCAACUCUCGUUGUGAAAUUCUGUGAAUCUGACUGUUUAGAGGAAGGAAAAGUCGUAACA
rnacentral:rRNA from 1 species